rnacentral:rRNA from 1 species
UACGUGGAGGGGCUAGCGUUGUCCGGAAUUAUUGGGCGUAAAGCGCGUGUAGGCGGUUCGAUAAGUCUGCUGUGAAAGUCGGGGGCUCAACCCUCGAAAGCCGGUGGAUACUGUCGAACUAGAGUACGGAAGAGGCGAGUGGAAUUCCUGGUGUAGCGGUGAAUGCGCAGAUAUCAGGAGGAACACCAUAGUGGCGAAAGGCAG